AAAAAAUAAGGCUAUACCUGUCGUGAGGCAGGGACAGAAAGCCACGGGGCUUAAAAGUAGCGAAUCGGCAGUUGAUUGAUAAUUAGAUAGAUGUAGUGAUAAAUAACUGACGGUUCUUUGCUGUUUUUCAAGUCGGCCGGGUUGCCGGA
rnacentral:ncRNA from 1 species